rnacentral:rRNA from 1 species
CCUACGGGUGGCAGCAGUGAGGAAUAUUGGUCAAUGGACGAGAGUCUGAACCAGCCAAGUAGCGUGAAGGAUGACUGCCCUAUGGGUUGUAAACUUCUUUUAUAUGGGAAUAAAAUGUUCCACGUGUGGGAUUUUGUAUGUCCCAUAUGAAUAAGGAUCGGCUAACUCCGUGCCAGCAGCCGCGGUAAUACGGAGGAUCCGAGCGUUAUCCGGAUUUAUUGGGUUUAAAGGGAGCGUAGGUGGAUUGUUAAGUCAGUUGUGAAAGUGUGCGGCUCAACCGUAAAAUUGCAGUUGAAACUGGCAGUCUUGAGUACAGUAGAGGUGGGCGGAAUUCGUGGUGUAGCGGUGAAAUGCUUAGAUAUCACGAAGAACUCCGAUUGCGAAGGCAGUUCACUGGACUGCAACUGACACUGAGGCUCGAAAGUGUGGGUAUCAAACAGGAUUAGAUACCCUUGUAGUC